AAUUCGAUGCAACGCGAAGAACCUUACCAGGUCUUGACAUCCCACGAAUUUCAUCUGAAAGGAUGGAGUGCCUUCGGGAGCGUGGAGACAGGUGGUGCAUGGUUGUCGUCAGCUCGUGUCGUGAGAUGUUGGGUUAAGUCCCGCAACGAGCGCAACCCUUGCUAUUAGUUGCUAACAGGUAGAGCUGAGCACUCUAAUGGGACUGCCGGUGACAAGCCGGAGGAAGGUGGGGAUGACGUCAAAUCAUCAUGCCCUUUAUGACCUGGGCUACACACGUGCUACAAUGGAUGGUACAGAGAGCAGCGAGGCAGCGAUGUGGAGCGAAUCUCAAAAGCCAUUCUCAGUUCGGAUUGGAGUCUGCAACUCGACUCCAUGAAGUCGGAAUCGCUAGUAAUCGCGAAUCAGCAUGUCGCGGUGAAUACGUUCCCGGGCCUU
rnacentral:rRNA from 1 species